rnacentral:rRNA from 1 species
AUUGAACGCUAGCGGGAUGCUUUACACAUGCAAGUCGAACGGCAGCGCGGACUUCGGUCUGGCGGCGAGUGGCGAACGGGUGAGUAAUGUAUCGGAACGUGCCCAGUAGCGGGGGAUAACUACGCGAAAGCGUAGCUAAUACCGCAUACGCCCUACGGGGGAAAGCAGGGGGUCGUAAGACCUUGCACUAUUGGAGCGGCCGAUAUCGGAUUAGCUAGUUGGUGAGGUAACGGCUCACCAAGGCGACGAUCCGUAGCUGGUUUGAGAGGACGACCAGCCACACUGGGACUGAGACACGGCCCAGACUCCUACGGGAGGCAGCAGUGGGGAAUUUUGGACAAUGGGGGCAACCCUGAUCCAGCCAUCCCGCGUGUGCGAUGAAGGCCUUCGGGUUGUAAAGCACUUUUGGCAGGAAAGAAACGGCGCGGGCUAAUACCCCGUGGAACUGACGGUACCUGCAGAAUAAGCACCGGCUAACUACGUG